rnacentral:hammerhead_ribozyme from 1 species
GCUUUCGUGAGGAGUCCCAUAAUAGGACGAAACGGUCGUCGAAUGU